rnacentral:tRNA from 1 species
GAGCUUACACACUGGUAGAGCAUCGGACACUCAUCCGACGGUCGCAGGUUCGACUCCUGCUAAGCCCACCU